GGGCACAUGGUGUAGUUGGUUUAUCACGCUCGCUUAGCAUAUUUCCAGACUUGGAACUGGUAGACGGCUGCGAGAGGUGUCCGGUUCAAUUCCGGAUGUGUCCA